rnacentral:rRNA from 1 species
AUGGCGUCUUGCUCCCACCCGUGGCUCUUUCCAGGCAUGUCGUCGCCGCCGCCGGCUGCCUCCACCGCCGUGCCGGUUCCGAGCUUCUGCAAGUCCUCGAAGGUGUUUGCUAGUUUGCGUCACCGGAGAAACGCAGGGUCAGUCGCGCCGACCAGAACGCGGAGAUGCACGAUCAGGUGCGUCAAGGAUGAGUCUAUCCAUUUUGAUCCGUCGAAGAUUGAAGCGCCGCCGUACUCCAGUUACUUCGACUCCACGUCUGGUCAGCUCGAGCCGGCGUCAGGCGCCCGGGCAAGCAUACCUGGGCAGGAGUACUGGCCGGAGGGCACUGCAGCCCGUGUCCGUGCUGCCCGUGCACCUGCGCCGGUCGGGGAGUCGGCCGGGACUCCGUCUCUUGGCAAGAAACCCGGGAGUAGGAGGAAAGGGUACAAGGGGCAGGUAGCGUCAGCAUCAGCGGCGGGCGGUGCGGACACCGGUGGAGAUGACGGCGAGUUCAUUGUGGCCACUGAGGUUCCACUAGAUGAUACAUUGGAGGAAACAAAUGAUUCGCUGGAUGAAUAUGUUAUUUACGAGGCGCCCAAGGAGGAGAGUUUGAGCGAGUAUGAGAUGGACAAGAUGAUGGGGCGGCCACACCCAUUUGUUGACCCAGCAAAGGCGAUGUUGGCAGAGGAACCGAAAUCGAGCGAGGAGCUCUGGUGGAAUUGGAGGAGGAAGUCCGAGGCAGAAAUGUGGUCAAGAUGGCAGAGGAGGCGCCCAGAUGUUGACACGGUCUUUGCAAAGGCAAUGGCUGAAACUGGGCAGAUUAAAAUAUUUGGGGAUCACCCUACAAGAACAGAAGCUGCUCUUGCCAAGACAAGAAGACAUUUACACAAAGAGGAAAGGUUAGAAGCAGAACAGAGGAGACUAGAAGAAAUAGGACCAAUAGCAUACUAUUCAGAAUGGGUAGAAGCAUAUAAACAAAAGGACACUUCAUGGGAAGCCAUUCAGAAGCACUUUGAGGAGACUGGUGAAGAUGCGAAUACUCAACUUAUAACAAUGUUUCAACACCAAACUGCUGGGGAAUAUCGUAUCAUGAUGGGCACUGAUGUUCGUAUACAACGAGAUCCUUUGGCAAUGAGGAUGCGUGAAGACCAGAUUAAACAGAUUUGGGGUGGUGAUCCUGUUUACCCAACUGUGAACUAUGUUCAGGAUCCUGAUGAAGUGAUUGACUACAGGAGUCCGGAAUUUCAUGAGCCUACCCCUGAAGUAGUACCUUAUUUGAUGGAGCAUGGGAUAAUGAUCACGAAGGAAGAACUGGAUGCACGUUUGAUGGAAGAGGAAGAAGACAUCAAUCAAGACAUUACGUACAUUCCUGAAGUCAAAGAUCCCAUGUCUACUGCUGUUGAUAUUGGAGAGCAUUCUUUCAAUGAAGAUAGUGAUGAUGAUGAGGAGGUUGACAAAGCUGUCACACUGCCCGAGUCACUAGAGGAUGAGGAAGAUGGCGGGGAUGAGGCUGCGGAAGUUGAAGGGAAAGUGAGUCAAAACUGGAGUGUUCUAAAGACUACUGGGCAGGACGAAAAACCAAAGGAAAAGUUAAAGAAAGACCAGAUGUCACUUAAAGACGCUAUUAAUGAGUCCGAGAACCUUACUGAUUUCCUUAUGGACUUUGAAGAAGAUGAGUAA